GGGGAGACGCCGCAUGCCGACGAGAGGUCCGAGAGGUUGUGCGCCGGCUGCCUUUGGGCCUGGAUGCGCGUUUGAGAUGACGAAGAGGCAGCUGGUGACUGGAGGAGUGACGUGUGCUUGUCCUUCAGAAGGAAGGGAAGAGGGAGACUCUUGGCCCCUCGAAAGCUAAGUUGAGGCAA